AAAUGGUUUUGUAUUAUAAAACAAAAGAAAAUACUACAGAAUGUGAUUGCAGUUGUAGGACUUAAUGGUAGUAGGACUGUGCCGCGAAUGGUUGAAGACAUUUGGACACGUUUGUAACAUGUAUUUUUUUAAUUUUUGUUGCCGCUAGCUACAUUAGCUAGCUACAUUAGCAAGCUACAUUAGCCUCUUGGAGCCCAGAGAGUUCAGCUGAACCUGCACUUAAUACAUUUAAUUAGCCAUGAUAGAGUCACAGAAUUGUUUGUUGUAUAAUUUGAGGGUUGCUAUAACAACCCUAGGCUGUGAUGAUCCUAAAGGUUUUCUGAAUACACUGAUUGCAGCUAGGUCAUGCAUUUGAAUUAAAAACGAACUUGGGUCAUUACAGCCAAAGUUCUCUCCACCUGUCUAAGUUGAAAUAAAUAUCUUCCGAAAUCUGAACAUUUAUUUUGUUUUUAUGUCAACAGGUUCUUCUUUGAGAUAUUCAUCUGACAUACAUUUCUGCUCAUUCAUAGCACCCACAAAAGGCACUUUUAAGAGCCACGUUUGUCAAAUCUCUGCGUCAUCUUUUUUGUCAUAUCUCUUCGUCAUCUUUGUGUUCUUAAUUUGUCUAUUGUUCUUCACGUAAUUUGUCAACAGUUCUGUUUGUUUGUUUGUUUGUUUGUCCAUCAUAAGUCUUUGCAUUCUAUUUUGCUCUUUGUCAGUGUUUUUUAAGUAUGACACGCCCCAAAUUCAGGCCAUGCGCACAGUGUCAAACGCCCAAUCAGGCAAACAGAAAAACUUGUGUCGCCUGCCACCAGAGUCUUUACACCAAAAAAAUAAUAAAAGAAAAGUUUCAGACAUUCAAUGAUCAGUGGAGGGAAACAGUUUUAAAAAACAGAAAUGUUUCCCGCAUAAUGGAUUCUGCGGAAAUUGCAGUUCGCAAACUUCAUGCUUUAGGCUAUAAGCCUAUUUUAUUUUUUGCUAAGGAAGAUAAGUCUUCAAGCAAGUGGGUAGCAGAUGUAAUUACUCUUUUGGAGCCCACUGCUACUACAAAUAAUUUUCUUGAGAAGAUGCAAAGGGCUUAUGAAUUUCUCCUCCCUGAAGCCACGUCUGUACCAGUGCAGCCCGACACCUCCACGGAACAGCAGGUUUUUUCACCCAAAGAGCAGUGUGCU